UGAUUAUCUAGACGUCGCAGAGUGCUUUCAUUUCUCUUCGAACGAAAACCGUAACUGUUAAGCUCCCGUCCGAAAACCGUGACCGCCGCUCGAAGUUCCAUUUUCCGUGGAACUUUCUGCGUGAAAGACGUCAAGACGCGCAUCAGCGACAAAGACCUAAUCGUUCAUCGAACCUUGACUGAUGGUGAACCCAUCGAUUUCCACGAGAACAAGCCAGGCAAAGGAAAGCCCAAGAACCGGAUGCCUCUUCCCAGUUUGAUGCGAAAGUCGACCCUCUCCAUUCGUUUGAUGCUGAAGGAAUUCCGUCUCCAGCUGCUGAACUACGCGCCUACGACUUCCUAAUGCACAUCGUCAAAGAUUGUAUGGUUCGUUUGAAAAGUUAAAACCACGAUGAAACUUAUUACUUAUGGGCCGUAAAGUUUUUCAUGGAGUUCGCAAUUGCGGAAAAUUCCGGGCCGAGUUGGUCAGCCAUAAGACGAUUUCGACCCAAACGUAUUCGGAAUCGAUUUUAGUGGGCAAGAAGAAAGCUGCUCUGUGGUCCCGUCGCCUUAACGUCACUCUGUGCGCCUACCAGGAGUUAUUGAUGACGCUCAACGGCUCUGAAUCCAUCCGCAAUUCGUCUGGAGCCCUAAAAGCAACGUCUUUUAUGUGCCAGAGUAUCGCGAGAUGUGCCUCGUUUUGCUUCUCAACUACAAAGAAAAUCAACACUCGCUAACUUACCUGAAAGAAUUUGGUCGAAACCAAUCACAUCUUCUUGAAACUCUUUGAACAGUUCGCAAAAAGCAAUCGGCAUCUGGCCGUCCAGAACAAGUUCUCGAAAGAAGAGCAAACCGAAGAAAAGAAAACGCCUCCGCCAACUUUCAACGAGAUUGCCAAGGAAAUCAGCUCGGCCUUACAAGAAAAACCUUCUUCUCUAACGGACGACGUUGUUCUCUUUGACGCCGAUUUCCCAAUAGAUGAUCAAAGGGUUGUAUAGCCAUGGGCAAGAUCAAAAAAAAAAAGAAAACUGCUGAAAGAAACCGAAUCCCAUUCGGCUGUGGCUCUGCUGGGAGCUUGUCGUCAAGUUUGGCCGGAAGGGGAAGUCGUUCGCUGCUCCUGAAGUAGAUCCAGAAGGCAAGAACUGCUUCGUUUUACGCCAACUCUUUUCACGCCGAUUUACCGAGAUCGUCGCUGUGGCGGGGG